GUUGGUAUCUGUUGUGGGAACAACUUUCCUAUGUUGAUUUUGUGGGUUUCAUUUUGAGGUGAAAUAGAAUAACAGUAUCUUAUGAUUAUGCUUUCAAGGUGUUUGGUAAAAUGACUGUAAGAACUAUAUAAAGAAAACUUUCGCUAUGGCAAAGAUUUUAAGGCUAUGAAAGAUUGCUGCUUUCAUGGUUUUCUUCAUUUAAACAAAAAGCAUUUUACAAGAAACUAACAGUAGAAAACUCUCAACAGUUUUAGUUUUUAAAGAAUUAAAAACCAAAAACAUGCAGUGUUAUUGAAAGAGCUCUAAGCUACUUUGUGGCCUUGGUGCCACUUUUUCCUCCUCAAUUCCAGCAAGACAUUCAUGAAUGUCUCCACCUCCAUGGAAUACGAUUCCUUCUGAU
rnacentral:misc_RNA from 1 species